rnacentral:rRNA from 1 species
GACGGAGGAUGCAAGUGUUAUCCGGAAUCACUGGGCGUAAAGCGUCUGUAGGUGGUUUAAAAAGUCCACUGUUAAAGGUUGAAGCUUAACUUCAAAAAUGCUGUGGAAACUUUUAAACUAGAGUAUGGUAGGGGUAGAGGGAAUUUCCAGUGGAGCGGUGGAAUGCGUAGAUAUUGGAAAGACCACCAAUGGCGAAGGCACUCUACUGGGCCAUUACUGACACUGAGAGGCGAAAGCUAGGGGAGCGAAUGGG